GACGAACGCUGGCGGCGUGCCUAACACAUGCAAGUCGAGCGAAGCGGCGGAUGGGUGAGUAACGCGUGGGUAACCUGCCCUUAAGUCUGGGAUACUACUUGGAAACAGAUGCUAAUACCGGAUACUAAAGGAUGGACCUGCGAUGAAUUAGCUAGUUGGUAAGGUCACGGCUUACUCAGGCGAUGUUGCAGAGCCGGGAUGAGAGACUGAACGGCCACAUGGGGACUGAGACACGGCCCAAACGCCUACGGGAGGCAGCCGUGGAGAAUCUUCCACAAUGGACGAAAGUCUGAUGGAGAAACGCCGCAUGAAUGAAGAAGGUUUGCGGAUCGUAAAGCUCUGUUGUUGGUAAAGCGGUAAUCGAACAAAAAGUCACGGCUAACUACGUGCCAGCAGCCGGGGUAAUUC
rnacentral:rRNA from 1 species